GCUGAAAGUAUGACUGAUAAAACUGAAUGGGUCACUAAGAUUCAAAGCAUUGUUGAUCCGAAAGGGCUUUCUGCAAAGAGACCAAACCCUGCAGAAGGUGGUGCCCCAGUGAAGCAAAGCCAUUCAGAUGGUUCUCUAGAUACGAUGCUUAAGAAGCCCGUAAACCCUGAAGAAGAGCUUAGAUGGAUAUCUCAGGGAGUCCGUGGAUAUGUGGAAGCAGUCCUCAGCAAUCUUGCAGCAAAUGUCCCCAAGUUAAGACCACAAUCUUUUCACCCUUUCUUGAACUCCCUUUUGCAUCCUGCAAUGUCUUACUAAUCCAGAUGAGCAGGCUGUUGUUCUUUGCCAAGUUGAGAAAGCAAAGGAAGAUAUGCUUAAUCAUUUAUAUACCUCCAUAAGCACGCAAGGCGCAACCAAGAUUGAAGAGUUAAUCCACGAGGACCAUAAUGUGAAGCGCAAGCGUGAAAAAUUCCAGUUGCAGUCAUCCCUUCUUUCCAAGGUCACUCGCCUGCUCAGCUUACAUGGUAGUCGGUUAGCCAAUGCUAGUUGGUCAAACGAUUCUGCAG